rnacentral:rRNA from 1 species
CCUACGGGUGGCAGCAGUGAGGAAUAUUGGUCAAUGGGCGCGAGCCUGAACCAGCCAAGUAGCGUGAAGGAUGACUGCCCUACGGGUUGUAAACUGCUUUUAUAAAGGAAUAAAGUGAGGCACGCGUGCCUUUUUGAAUGUCCUUUAUGAAUAAGCAUCGGCUAACUCCGUGCCAGCAGCCGCGGUAAUACUGAGGAUCCAAGCGUUAUACGGAUUUAUUGGGUUUAAAGGGAGCGUAGAUGGGUUGUUAAGUCAGUUGUGAAAGUUUGCGGCUCAACCGUAGAAUUGCCAUUGAUACUGGCAGUCGUGAGUACAGUUGAGGUAGGCGGAAUUCGUGGUGUAGCGGUGAAAUGCUUAGAUAUCACGAAGAACUCCGAUUGCGAAGGCAGCUUACUAAACUGCCACUGACAUUGAUGCACGAAAGUGUGGGUAGCAAACAGGAUUAGAUACCCUAGUAGUC